AGAGUUUGAUCCUGGCUCAGAACGAACGCUGGCGGCGUGCUUAAGACAUGCAAGUCGAACGGUAAGGCCGAUCUUUCUUCGGAUUGAUUGGUACACGAGUGGCGCACGGGUGAGUAACGCGUGGGUAACCUACCCUCAGGUUUGGGACAACUCCGGGAAACUGGAGCUAAUACCGAAUAAGACCACGGAGUCCUCGGAUUCAGUGGAAAAAGAUGGCCUCUUCUUGAAAGCUAUCGCCUGUCGAUGAGCCCGCGUACCAUUAGCUUGUUGGUAAGGUAACGGCUCACCAAGGCGACGAUGGUUAGCUGGUCUGAGAGGAUGAUCAGCCACACUGGAACUGAGACACGGUCCAGACUCCUACGGGAGGCAGCAGUCGGGAAUCUUGGGCAAUGGGGGAAACCCUGACCCAGCAACGCCGCGUGAGGGAUGAAGGCCUUCGGGUCGUAAACCUCUGUCGGGAGGGAAGAAUGGCAUCCAAGCGAAUAGGUUGGGUGUUUGACGGUACCUCCAAAGGAAGCGCCGGCUAACUCCGUGCCAGCAGCCGCGGUAAUACGGAGGGCGCAAGCGUUGUUCGGAAUCAUUGGGCGUAAAGCGCGUGUAGGUGGCUUGGAAAGUUGGAUGUGAAAGCCCGGGGCCCAACCCCGGAAUUGCACUCAAAACUUCCUAGCUAGAGUCUCGGAGAGGAAAGCGGAUUUCCGGUGUAGAGGUGAAUUCGUAGAUAUCGGGAGGACACCAGUGGCGAAGCGGCUUCUGGACGAUGACUGACACUGAGACGCGAAAGCGUGGGGAGCAACAGGAUUAG
rnacentral:rRNA from 1 species